UUUUCUUUUUAUUGGCUCCCUGGCAUCUGGCAUUUUGGCAAUUCUCUACUUCAGGAGUCUUGUUAGGAGACAAAGUUUCCUCUCCAGAAAGGUAAAAGCAUCCCUGACAACGAACAGCUGGUAGCUGGUCUGGUUACAGUUAUUGUGUGAUACAUAUGAAUCCAAUCGAACAAUAUUCUUCAUAAUCUCCCUAUGUAACUUCAGGCAUUUGAUGACUUUGAAAUAUAGCUCUCCAACCAUAGGUGCGAAGUUCUAGGUCUAAAUUUCUUAUUGUCUACUGACUGGCUCCACUUGAAUAUACCAUGUGCCUUUCCAAUUUAUUAUGUUGAAAACAAAAUUCAUCAUCUCUCCAGACCUUCCUUAUUUUCUGUCUAUGUAGUUGAUAUUCCCUAAAACAGAAACCUGGAAGGUAUUCCUUACCCCAUGAUGAAUUACUCACCAAGCCCUAUGAAUUCUACUCUCUCUGAAAUACAUCCUUUCUCAUCUACAUAGCUACUUUAUAGCUCUAGUUCAAGGCUUCAGUUAAUUCUCCCAUGGAUUAACACUACAACUUUGUUAACUGGUUACCAUGUCUUCCAUUGUGCCCGCUAUAAUCCACUCUGCACGGAGCAGCCAUUGAAAUCUUUCCAAAAUGCAAGUGACAAAAUGCAAGUAAUAUAGAAA
rnacentral:lncRNA from 1 species